GGGAUUGCCCUAGUAACGGCGAGUGAAGCGGCAACAGCUCAAAUUUGAAAUCUGGCGCAAGCCCGAGUUGUAAUUUGUAGAGGAUGCUUCUGGGUAGCGACCGAUCUAAGUUCCUUGGAACAGGACGUCAUAGAGGGUGAGAAUCCCGUAUGUGACCGGCCCGCACCCUUUACGUAGCUCCUUCGACGAGUCGAGUUGUUUGGGAAUGCAGCUCUAAAUGGGAGGUAAAUUUCUUCUAAAGCUAAAUACCGGCCAGAGACCGAUAGCGCACAAGUAGAGUGAUCGAAAGAUGAAAAGUACUUUGGAAAGAGAGUUAAAAAGCACGUGAAAUUGUUGAAAGGGAAGCGCCUGCAACCAGACUUCGUGGCAGUGUUCCGCCGGUCUUCUGACCGGUUUAUUCUCUGUCGCGAGGCCAUCAUCGUCUAGGCCCGCCGGAUAAGACCUUAGGAAUGUAGCUCACCUUCGGGGGAGUGUUAUAGCUUAUGGUGAUGCGGCGAGGCUUGGGCGAGGUCCGCGCUUCGGCAAGGAUGAUGGCGUAAUGGUUGUCGGCGGCCCGUCUUGAAACACGGACCAAGGAGUCUAACAUCUAUGCGAGUGUUCGGGUGUCAAACCCCUACGCGUAAUGAAAGUGAACGGAGGUGGGAACCGCAAGGUGCACCAUCGACCGAUCCUGAUGUCCUCGGAUGGAUUUGAGUAAGAGCAUAGCUGUUGGGACCCGAAAGAUGGUGAACUAUGCCUGAAUAGGGUGAAGCCCGAGGAAACUCUGGUGGAGGCUCGCAGCGGUUCUGACGUGCAAAUCGAUCGUCAAAUUUGGGUAUAGGGGCG
rnacentral:rRNA from 1 species